CACUAUCGGGAAAAUAUUCAGGCACUCUUUUUUUUUAACAUUAUUUAUACAUUGCAACUCUGGGAAGGGAGUUUCAGCAUAAAUUAAUAGCUGGCACAACAUGAUGUUCCUACACCUAUAAAGAUGGCAACAAAAGGUUCUGAAACCCUAAGAGAAGAACAGAAUGUUUAGACCCCAAAAAUGAGCAACUGGACCAACUGAUUGUGUACUGCUUUGUUGUACUAUGCAGAUCUCUGUUGUGCAAACCAUGGAAUGCAUGCGCCAAAAAGGAACUGAUAACUGAGUGCAGAUUUCCUGCAUUUGCAGGUUAUGAACCAUAGUCACAUGGCACCAAAGAACCUGAGGUUACAGGGC